rnacentral:sRNA from 1 species
AGCAUAGCACCUGCAGCAAGAUGGAUGUGGGCAGCAAAGAGGUCCUGAUGGAGAGCCCGCCGGACUACUCCGCAGCUCCCCGGGGCCGAUUUGGCAUUCCCUGCUGCCCAGUGCACCUGAAACGCCUUCUUAUCGUGGUGGUGGUGGUGGUCCUCGUCGUCGUGGUGAUUGUGGGAGCCCUGCUCAUGGGUCUCCACAUGAGCCAGAAACACACGGAGAUGGUUCUGGAGAUGAGCAUUGGGGCGCCGGAAGCCCAGCAACGCCUGGCCCUGAGUGAGCACCUGGUUACCACUGCCACCUUCUCCAUCGGCUCCACUGGCCUCGUGGUGUAUGACUACCAGCAGGUGGGUAUGCCCAGACCUCCUGACCCUGGGACC